rnacentral:rRNA from 1 species
GGACGAGGAGCUUGCUCCUCUGACGUUAGCGGCGGACGGGUGAGUAACACGUGGAUAACCUACCUAUAAGACUGGGAUAACUUCGGGAAACCGGAGCUAAUACCGGAUAAUAUAUUGAACCGCAUGGUUCAAUAGUGAAAGACGGUUUUGCUGUCACUUAUAGAUGGAUCCGCGCCGCAUUAGCUAGUUGGUAAGGUAACGGCUUACCAAGGCAACGAUGCGUAGCCGACCUGAGAGGGUGAUCGGCCACACUGGAACUGAGACACGGUCCAGACUCCUACGGGAGGCAGCAGUAGGGAAUCUUCCGCAAUGGGCGAAAGCCUGACGGAGCAACGCCGCGUGAGUGAUGAAGGUCUUCGGAUCGUAAAACUCUGUUAUUAGGGAAGAACAAAUGUGUAAGUAACUAUGCACGUCUUGACGGUACCUAAUCAGAAAGCCACGGCUAACUACGUGCCAGCAGCCGCGGUAAUACGUAGGUGGCAAGCGUUAUCCGGAAUUAUUGGGCGUAAAGCGCGCGUAGGCGGUUUUUUAAGUCUGAUGUGAAAGCCCACGGCUCAACCGUGGAGGGUCAUUGGAAACUGGAAAACUUGAGUGCAGAAGAGGAAAGUGGAAUUCCAUGUGUAGCGGUGAAAUGCGCAGAGAUAUGGAGGAACACCAGUGGCGAAGGCGACUUUUCUGGUCUGUAACUGACGCUGAUGUGCGAAAGCGUGGGGAUCAAACAGGAUUAAUACCCUGGUAGUCCACGCCGUAAACGAUGAGUGCUAAGUG